UACGUAGGGGGCAAGCGUUGUCCGGAAUUAUUGGGCGUAAAGCGCGCGCAGGCGGUCCUUUAAGUCUGAUGUGAAAUCUUGCGGCUUAACCGCAAGCGGUCAUUGGAAACUGGGGGACUUGAGUACAGAAGAGGAGAGCGGAAUUCCACGUGUAGCGGUGAAAUGCGUAGAUAUGUGGAGGAACACCAGUGGCGAAGGCGGCUCUCUGGUCUGUAACUGACGCUGAGGCGCGAAAGCGUGGGGAGCAAACAGG
rnacentral:misc_RNA from 1 species